AGCGAACGCUGGCGGCAGGCCUAACACAUGCAAGUCGAGCGGCCGUAGCAAUACGGCAGCGGCAGACGGGAUAGUAACACGUGGGAACGCGCCCUUCGGUUCGGAAUAACUCAGGGAAACUUGAGCUAAUACCGGAUACGCCCUUACGGGGAAAGAUUUAUUGCCGAAGGAACGGCCCGCGUCGGAUUAGCUAGUUGGUGAGGUAAUGGCUCACCAAGGCGACGAUCCGUAGCUGGUCUGAGAGGAUGACCAGCAUCACUGGGACUGGGACACGGCCCAGACUCCUACGGGAGGCAGCAGUGGGGAAUAUUGGACAAUGGGCGAAAGCCUGGUCCAGCCAUGCCGCGUGGAUGAUGAAGGCCCUAGGGUUGUAAAGUCCUUUUAACGGGGAAGAUAAUGACGGUACCCGUAGAAUAAGCCCCGGCUAACUUCGUGCCAGCCGCCGCCGUAA
rnacentral:rRNA from 1 species